rnacentral:rRNA from 1 species
GCUCAGGAUGAACGCUAGCGGCAGGCUUAACACAUGCAAGUCGAGGGGUAGAGGCCUUCGGGCCUUGAGACCGGCGCACGGGUGCGUAACGCGUAUGCAAUCUGCCUUCCACAGAGGGAUAGCCCAGAGAAAUUUGGAUUAAUACCUCAUAGCAUCAUGGCCCGGCAUCGGGAUAUGAUUAAAGUCACAACGGUGGAAGAUGAGCAUGCGUCCCAUUAGCUAGUUGGUAAGGUAACGGCUUACCAAGGCUACGAUGGGUAGGGGUCCUGAGAGGGAGAUCCCCCACACUGGUACUGAGACACGGACCAGACUCCUACGGGAGGCAGCAGUGAGGAAUAUUGGUCAAUGGGCGCAAGCCUGAACCAGCCAUGCCGCGUGCAGGAUGACGGUCCUAUGGAUUGUAAACUGCUUUUGUACGGGAAGAAACCCUCCUACGUGUAGGAGCUUGACGGUACCGUAAGAAUAAGGAUCGGCUAACUCCGUGCCAGCAGCCGCGGUAAUACGGAGGAUCCAAGCGUUAUCCGGAAUCAUUGGGUUUAAAGGGUCUGUAGGCGGUCUUGUAAGUCAGUGGUGAAAGCCCAUCGCUCAACGGUGGAACGGCCAUUGAUACUGCUGGACUUGAAUUAUUGGGAAGCAACUAGAAUAUGUAGUGUAGCGGUGAAAUGCUUAGAGAUUACAUGGAAUACCAAUUGCGAAGGCAGGUUGCUACCAAUGGAUUGACGCUGAUGGACGAAAGCGUGGGUAGCGAACAGGAUUAGAUACCCUGGUAGUCCACGCCGUAAACGAUGGAUACUAGCUGUUGGGCGCAAGUUCAGUGGCUAAGCGAAAGUGAUAAGUAUCCCA